rnacentral:tRNA from 1 species
UCCCCGGCGGGACGGGUCCCAGCGGGUCACGACCGCUCCCAGUACGCGUCCCCCGGCCGCCUCGGGGGCCGGGGGAC